rnacentral:rRNA from 1 species
UAGAGUUUGAUCAUGGCUCAGGAUGAACGCUAGCGGCAGGCUUAAUACAUGCAAGUCGAGGGGCAGCGCGGUGUAGCAAUACACUGGCGGCGACCGGCAAACGGGUGCGGAACACGUACAGAACCUUCCUUCGAGCGGGGAAUAGCCCAGAGAAAUUUGGAUUAAUACCCCAUAGUAUAUUAGAGUGGCAUCACUUUGAUAUUAAAGAUUUAUCACUUGAAGAUGGCUGUGCGGCUGAUUAGGUAGUUGGCGGGGUAACGGCCCACCAAGCCUACGAUCAGUAACUGGUGUGAGAGCACGACCAGUCACACGGGCACUGAGACACGGGCCCGACUCCUACGGGAGGCAGCAGUAAGGAAUAUUGGUCAAUGGACGAAAGUCUGAACCAGCCAUGCCGCGUGGAGGAUGAAGGUCCUCUGGAUUGUAAACUUCUUUUAUAUGGGACGAAAAAGGGCUUUUCUAAGUCAACUGACGGUACCAUAUGAAUAAGCACCGGCUAACUCCGUGCCAGCAGCCGCGGUAAUACGGAGGGUGCAAGCGUUAUCCGGAUUCACUGGGUUUAAAGGGUGCGUAGGUGGGUUGGUAAGUCAGUGGUGAAAUCCCCGAGCUUAACUUGGGAACUGCCAUUGAUACUAUCAGUCUUGAAUACCGUGGAUGUCAGCAGAUUAUGUCAUGUAGCGGUGAAAUGCUUAAAUAUGACAUAGAACACCCAUUGCGAAGGCAGCUGGCUACACGAAUAUUGACACUGAGCACGAAAGCGUGGGGAUCAAACGGGAUUAAAAUACCCUGGUAGUCCACGCCCUAAACUAAUGGAAUACUCGACUAUACGCGAAUACACUGUGUGUUGUCU